GAGGAUAUAGCUCAAUGUUAGAGUGCUUGCCUCACAUGCAGGAGGCCCUGGGUUCAAUCCCCAGCACCCCCA
rnacentral:tRNA from 1 species